CCAGAGAACUUAGCAGAGAUGCUUGGUGCCUUCGGGAACUCUGAGACAGGUGCCGCAUGGCUGUCGUCAGCUCGUGUUGUGAAAUGUUGGGUUAAGUCCCGCAACGAGCGCAACCCUUAUCCUUUGUUGCCAGCGGUCCGGCCGGGAACUCAAAGGAGACUGCCAGUGAUAAACUGGAGGAAGGUGGGGAUGACGUCAAGUCAUCAUGGCCCUUACGAGUAGGGCUACACACGUGCUACAAUGGCGCAUACAAAGAGAAGCGACCUCGCGAGAGCAAGCGGACCUCAUAAAGUGCGUCGUAGUCCGGAUUGGAGUCUGCAACUCGACUCCAUGAAGUCGGAAUCGCUAGUAGUCGUGGAUCAGAAUGCCACGGUGAAUACGUUCCCGGGCCUUGUACACACCGCCCGUCACACCAUGGGAGUGGGUUGCAAAAGAAGUAGGUAGCUUAACCUUCGGGAGGGCGCUUACCACUUUGUGAUUCAUGACUGGGGUGAAGUCGUAACAAGGUAGGCGUAGUGCU
rnacentral:rRNA from 1 species